UAUUACAUAUAGGUAGUAUGUAGCAGGCCAUUUCGAAAACAGCCACAGUGUUUCCUCUCUGUGCUGUCAGUUCAUUGUGUCAUCUCAUGUGUUCCUUACACCUAUCUAGUUCCAGUGUUCCUUGUGAUUCCCAUCGUAUGUUCCCUGUGUGUUCAGUUGGACUUUGUGGAUAUAAUUUGCUUGGACCUUUUCACAACAAAAUCGAUUAGAUCACACUGUUUCCUGUCAGAGUGUUGCGAUUGCCUGUGAGCAACACAGUGUGCAGCAACGCUACACAACAUGGACUCCUGUAGACAUGGACGAGAGGCCGUGGAUUCGAGAAGUUCAGAUCCUGAGGUGACUCUUUGCCAACACAGCAGCUGUUUCUUGUUACAGCGCCCCACCUCAGUUACCAAAGUGUCACAUCAGAUACAAAGUGUUACAUUGUGUUCUUCUUAACACUUUGGCAGACUCUUGAGCAGACUUGAGAAUAAACUUUUCUGUACAUGUGAUAGUAAA